rnacentral:lncRNA from 1 species
UCCAGGAGAAGAAGACCUUUUUACCCAGUCAACAGAAAAGCUACAGAGAACUUGAGCAGUAUCAAGAGAGAUGGAUACCUUCACAGAAGACAUACAGCGAACUGGCAAAUCUUUGGAGCAGGCUGUUUGCUGCAGACAGUGACUGAGAGUCCAAGAACUGGACAGAAGACAGAGACACAAAUAUAUGUUCCACAUGAUGUAUGUCUGUCCAGACCCUAUGCAAGCUGUCCAAGUCAAAAGGAUCAGCUUGGAGUUAUAACAAUUUCUAUACAAAAAUAUUUUUAGACCCUGGCAUAAAGUAACACACUGUUUUUUUUUUUUUUAAAAUAAAUAUUUUUGGUGUGGAAAUAUUGAAAUUGGA